GGCGACGAUCUGUAGCGGGUCUGAGAGGAUGAUCCGCCACACUGGAACUGAGACACGGUCCAGACUCCUACGGGAGGCAGCAGUGGGGAAUUUUGGACAAUGGGGGCAACCCUGAUCCAGCCAUGCCGCGUGAGUGAAGAAGGCCUUCGGGUUGUAAAGCUCUUUCGGCCGGGAAGAAAUCGCAUGGGUUAAUACCCUGUGCGGAUGACGGUACCGGCAUAAGAAGCACCGGCUAACUACGUGCCAGCAGCCGCGGUAAUACGUAGGGUGCGAGCGUUAAUCGGAAUUACUGGGCGUAAAGCGUGCGCAGGCGGUUUUGUAAGACAGGCGUGAAAUCCCCGGGCUCAACCUGGGAACUGCGCUUGUGACUGCAAGGCUAGAGUAUGGCAGAGGGGGGUGGAAUUCCACGUGUAGCAGUGAAAUGCGUAGAGAUGUGGAGGAACACCAAUGGCGAAGGCAGCCCCCUGGGCCAAUACUGACGCUCAUGCACGAAAGCGUGGGUAGCAAACAGGAUUAGAUACCCUGGUAGUCCACGCCCUAAACGAUGUCAACUAGGUGUUGGGUGGGUAAAACCAUUUAGUACCGGAGCUAACGCGUGAAGUUGACCGCCUGGGGAGUACGGCCGCAAGGUUAAAACUCAAAGGAAUUGACGGGGACCCGCACAAGCGGUGGAUGAUGUGGAUUAAUUCGAUGCAACGCGAAAAACCUUACCUACCCUUGACAUGUCCAGGAGCCUGAAGAGAUUUGGGUGUGCCCGAAAGGGAACUGGAACACAGGUGCUGCAUGGCUGUCGUCAGCUCGUGUCGUGAGAUGUUGGGUUAAGUCCCGCAACGAGCGCAACCCUUGUCGUUAAUUGCCAUCAUUUAGUUGGGCACUUUAACGAGACUGCCGGUGACAAACCGGAGGAAGGUGGGGAUGACGUCAAGUCCUCAUGGCCCUUAUGGGUAGGGCUUCACACGUCAUACAAUGGUCGGUACAAAGGGUUGCCAACCCGCGAGGGGGAGCCAAUCCCAGAAAGCCGAUCGUAGUCCGGAUUGCAGGCUGCAACUCGCCUGCAUGAAGUCGGAAUCGCUAGUAAUCGUGGAUCAGCAUGUCAUGGUGAAUACGUUCCCGGGUCUUGUACACACCGCCCGUCACACCAUGGGAGCGGGUUCCGCCAGAAGUAGGUAGCCUAACCGCAAGGGGGGCGCUUACCACGGCGGGGUUCGUGACUGGGGC
rnacentral:rRNA from 1 species